UUUUAUAAUCAUAGCAGUAACAUUCCAGAUGCAGCCCUAAACUCCAGUAUGUACUUUUUCGUGUUAUUGAGAUUCCACUUCUUGAACGUGUUCCUCCUCAGUGACACCUGAGGAAGAGACAAGCUGGAUGGAAUGACUGGAUGCUGGGUACACAGGACAAACCCAAGGCUUGAGCUUCAUCAGGAUGAUUUAAUGUUCACUGCCCCUGGAGAAAGCCUGCAGUCUGGAUCCUGUUGGUUUCCCCAAGGAUUUUGAAAUAUGUAGUGCCACCUUCACCACUGAUGUCUUAUCUGGAUGGGCCCAAAACUGGGUGCAGCAUUUUCAACGUGGUCUAGAAAACAGGUUCUAGGACUUGCUAAAGCUUUCCUGUUCUAAGCUGCCAUAGUGACCUGAGGAUCUGAGUUUUUCCUGUAAAACAGGAAUCUUCUGAGUAAGGUAGAAUUGAUUAUAUUGUUUUCUUCUGAAAGAAUUAGUGAAGAACUGAUAAAUUGCUAUGCACACCUUUCUAAUGUUUCCUGUAGCAGAAAGUAAUUUCCCUUUAAGAAACAGUCUCUCAGCUUAAGAAACAAACAAACAGAAAAAAAAACCCUUUUGCCACAUUAGAUGCCAAUUCUGAGUGCAGUUAAGCUCUGUUAACAAGUUGCCCAGAAAGGCUGUAGCACCUUCAUCUUGGUAAAUAUUCAAAUUUGAUUUGACAAUGCUCUGAGCAACGCAGCUUAACUUCUAAGUUAGCAGUGCUUUGAUUAGGAUGUUGAAUUAAAUUACACCCAGCUAUCCCUUCGGCAGGAAUCUCUCCAGUAGAAGGAAAAUUAGCCAAGUGCAGUAAUUAUUUUGAAUUAGGGAAACAGGUAAACAGAACAAUCAAACAAAAAGGCACAGAAAACAUCUCUUUGGGAGCUUUUUUUCAAGGUGUAUUCUUUUAAAUGUUUUAUGUUCUUCCUAAAGGAAACACUGAAAAUCAGUAGCAUAGAGGAGUGAUUCAGAGACGUGCUCUUUUAUGAACUAUAGUAUGUGUCAGAUGUAAUUCAGUGGUAUCUGCUGCCCCCUUCAGACUAUUCACAGUAAAAACAAUUUCCAGGUAAUAUUUUUGAAAUCAGAAAUGAAUAGCAUCCCAUUUUUUCGCACUAGUUUCCUGUGGGUAGAGGGGAAGAACCAUAAGAGUAAAUACAUAUUUAACUAGAUUAUUGGUGAACAUUUUCUUAUACCAGUGGUGGUGGUUUUUUGACUGUUUUUUUUUGUUUUGUUUUUUUUCCAUGUUAAUCCUCAUGAGCAAGACAAACCUUUAGCAGCUAGGUUCAAUAGUCAUAACAGAGAAAAAGAUCUUAGAGCAAAGACUGAAAGAUGGGGGAAAUCUGGAAAUCAAUUCAAGCUUCUAGAAUGCAUUUAAAUAUUUUUGGUUGUAAUUCUACCUUGGUGAUUCAGUUCUUCAUAUGCAAAACAAAUGAAGACCCAUCUCUCUAUCUUCCUUUUAAUUCAGAAUAAACUUUCAUAGCAAGAUCAAGGCUAGACUGGCAAAAGUUCUUCCUUACCUAAUUCCCAAACAGAGGAUAAUACAACUGCUUAUUUAUGCCUAAAUACAUUUGUUUGUGCAAUGAUGUGUAGAAACAAGAAUAUGUGUAUAUACACACACAAAUAUAUACAACAGCUCUCUAAUAUCAUCUGAAAUUAAGUACGUUCAUUAGGAAGAAACAACAGCUUAAUGUAAAUAUGAAUCCAUUACCACUAGUAAGCUAAAAGCAACAGUUGUACAUAGAAGAACAGAUCAUAUCAUAGUUACUAUUUUGCGUUUGAGAUGCAAUGUGGUACAUUUUCUAAACUUGCCUGAGAAGUUUUUUAUAAAACUGA